UUCCGUGUUAUGCAGCAGUGGCAGGGAAGCUGACAACGUAAACAGUAGUUUUACCCAACAUUAGGUCUCUUUUGCAAAACCUACAUGGAUAACACCUCAAAUAACUGAAUCAGUAUCAUUUUAUGCAUCAGUUGAGAUAAUUGCAAGAUGUCUAGUAAAGAAGUGAAAACAGCACUGAAAAGUGCCAGAGAGGCCAUAAAGAACAAGGAGUUCAAAGAAGCUCUAAAACACUGCAAGCUCUGACAAAAAUAAAUGUUAUGAGAUGAUCAAAAAGCUGUCAGAUAUCCAUCAGUCUGACAAAGAAUAUUUAAAGCUGGCAAAGGUUUGGCUGCAGCUCCUUCACCUGAAGGAGGAAGAAGCCGUGGACAAGAAAGAGUUACUGCAGCUGUGGCAGCAGAUGUCCCAACUCCUCUCAUACUGCCCUGAUGAGGAAGAGCAGGACAAUGAAACUCAGCAGCAUCUAAUCAUUGCAUUUGAAAAGGCUAUGGUGCUCAUGGAUCCCGUACCAGGAGAGGAACACAAGAAGGUCUCAGCUGACUAUAUCAAAUGUCUUUCUAAACUGCCACAAGAAGAAGCUAAAAUGAAAGAGGCAUGUGAGUCCAUGCUGUCCCUCUACCCCAGACAAAGUUAUCCUCUUGAAGUCCUUUGUUCUCACUACCUCAGAACAGGUGUUCAGAAUGAGGAUGCUGUCAGCUGUUUCUCCCGGCUGCUCAGUCUGGCUCCUAACAGUAGAUUAGGUCACUAGGGUCUGGGCACCAAAGCACUACAAGAAGGGAGGUAUCAAGAUGCCAUCAAGGACCUUGCACAAGGGUUGAAGAAAAUGAGCUCCAGUACAGGAUGGUGCAGUCUGGCUGAAGCUCAGUUUAAAAUGCACAGAUACUCAGACAGUGCUAUAUCAUGCUCUCAAGGUCUGACAGUCUGUGUUUCCGGAGACUCAGAGCUGAGGAUCAAACUGCUUUAGAUGAAGCUAGAGGCUUUAGUCAAGAGUGGAGGAGAAGCACCUGGAGACCAGGCUUUGGAGACAUUUUCACAGUCCAGAUGCUAAGAAAAAGACCCAGUUCUAGUAACCCUGAAAGGUCGUGCAUACCUUAACAAGGGACAAGUUGAUCAAGCACUAAAGGUGUCAUCAGAGCUGAUGGCCUUGAACCCUAACCUGGCUCAGGGGCUGGUACUGAGAGGACUGGCACAUUUGGCGCAGGGCAAGCAGCAGCUGGCAGAGGAGAGUUUCCUAGCUAGUUUGCGGCUAGCCAGAGCCCAGGCUGUGGAGAGUACUAUUUCUUGCUGGGACGACUCUACUGGGACGACUCUACUGGGACAUGGGAGAAUAGACCCGUAAAGACCGUACCAAAGCCCAUACACAUUUGCUCAAGGCUGCAAAGUUAGACCCAAACCUUGGUUGUGUAUUCUGCUACCUUGGACAUUAUUACCGGGAGGUGGCAAAUGAUCACGUCCGUGCACGGGUCUGGAGCUGCCUCAGUGGAUCUCAGUAUGGAGCAGGACGAUAUGGACACUGCCUUAGCAAGCAAGAAUGCCACUCCAGGCUCAGCUAAGUGGGCUUGGAUGAGACGAGGGCUUUACCACCUGAAGGUCGGAGAGCACAAGCAAGCUACAGCUGAGUGGGCGUCCCAGGAAGCGACUGGUCGGACCUGAUCCUAGAAGCCACCACUGAGGUCUUGAAGCUGGGUUCAUCCCCUAUGGCCCUCCUUUUCCAGGCCCUGCUCCAGUAUGUGAACUAGAUGGCUGCUAGGUCAGUGCUUCUCACUGCGUUCUGUGUCCGCUGCAGGUGCACAUGCAUGUUGCAGGCGUGCGCGUUGUUCUGCACAGAUAUGCAAAUGAUCUUAUCCCAUUGGUGUGUAAGUGUAAUGUAUCAUCUUAAGUGAUUAAAUGAAGAAUUUAUGCCUCAAAUUUAUGUCUCCAUCUGUCCUUUCACAAUAUUGGUAGUUUUGGAACUGCAAAGCAAUUUGCAAAGUUUGCUUUCCUGACAUAAUAGCCUUCUGUCACUACCUCACAGGUCUGCCAGGAUGCUUAAUUAGAAUGCUACAUUCAUCAGAGAGCUGACGAGAACAAAUAUGCCAAUCAUGAACUGGCUAAAUUCCUUGAGAUAUGCUGCAGGAACUCCUCCGUGCCAAGCUUAAUCACAAUAUCGGAGGCCAUUCCAUGCCAGAGACAAGUUUCGUAUUAUUGUAUACUGUAUAUUGGAAAAUGUAGAGUGUGCCAGCUAAUUUCAGCUAGACGACAAACCAGAUCAGAAGCUGUCCAAUUCCAUAUGUUUUCAAGAGCGACUGAGCAUGCGUCUUUACAUCAACACAGGCAGCACAAUUAGGAGUAUACACAACUGUCAUUUCAUUCACAAAUGCCACUCCGAAAUGUUAGAUAAAACAUCCAGACGAAGAAAUGCAAAUUAUUUUGGUUUACAAGCAACAAGGCUUAUAUUACAUGCU